GUGGUCGUAUGGCAAGGGCGAUUGGUGGAGGGAGGAAAAGAGUAGGGCGACUGCUUCCUUCUCUCGCAUCCGCUUUCUCGCCCGUGUCACCGUGCCGUCAGGAGGACUCCGACAGUGACGAUUCCAGCGAAGCAGCAGCGGAAGACGAACACAACAGAGACGCACAAGCAGGAGACCAACAGGCAGUGGCAAGUCUUCUCUAUGCCUUACAAGUUCCACGUGUACUAGCUUUUAGUGCAGGUCAGUCGCCAACAGGGGACAUCGACAAGCAUGUACGUCGCCAGACGCGUCUCUCUCCACCUGCAGGAUGAUUUUCCGUGGCACGGCCUUCCUCAGCCAAAUAAAUCUCUCGCCUUGUCAAGCAAAAGAUUAGUGAUCUCGUGCAAGAUCUAAAUGUUACCAGUGAUGAUGGCUCUACAGAAACGAACAACUGCGAGCACUCAGAUUCUUCAUUUACGAAAUGUUCAACCAAUUCGACCAUGUCAGAUGCAGUUUUGCUUGGAAGGGAGCUGGUAUAUUUGUAAUUGAUGUGUAUGAUGGCAUGUCUUCUGAAUGCAAGCUUCGUCUCAAUAGGAGAUCCUCCAACUUCAGUGUAUUGAAGUUUGACGGAUUGGAGAAUCAGAUGGUAGUCGCUGGAGAUGCAAGGAACUCCCAUGCUUGCAGCGAUGCACUUGGUGGGCAUUCCUUGCAUUUGUCCUGUAGAAUCACGCGGGUACAUGUAUUUAAUUAUAGCAAAGUCACCAUGUCUUUAUCAUGCCAGUAUGCCAAUGCCCAGAAAUUAGAUAACAGAGGGAAGUCACCAGCUCUGAAAGCAUACCAAAUAUUUCAGUUUUUAGGCCACUGCUCAAUUUUGAAGAGCUACUCCUUUGAACUAGAUAUGUGAGCUUUUUGUAAACUACAGGAUAUCAUAGUUUGCUAACUGGAAAAAGAACUCUUUGAUGUUGGGCAUAUCCUGUAGUACUUAAAUCAUUAUUUUUUUACACAUGU